rnacentral:lncRNA from 1 species
CGCCCACCUCCCGGCCCCUCCCCUUGGUGUGAUGACGCAGGAGGCCGGUUGGUCGCACGGAUUGUGCAUGGCGGCGCGGGAGGAAGCGGAGUGCGGCCGCUCUGUCCUCGGUUAAACCGUUGGGUUGGUGAUCCGGGCGAGAGACCGUGUGUGAUUCCGCCAUCGCAGCUCGCCCUCCGCCCGCCUCUCUGACUGUCACUGUGAGGGCUACCACCUCAGCCGUCACCGGGGAUCCUGUAAACAACCGCCGGGCCCGGAGACUCGUCCGCUGGGGCCAACCGCGGGCCAACCCCGGGCACUGUGAGCCCCCUGCCCUGCUGAGGAUGCCUGCUGGCCACCAAGCUAUUGCCUGCAGAGCAAGGGCCCAAAUCUGCUCUUAUCUGUGACCAUCACCCACCUGUCAGAUACAGCCCCCCUAUACACCCCCCAGAUACAGCCCCCUUAUACCCCCCUUUAGAUACAGCCCCUUUAUACCCCCAGAUACAGCCCCCCUUUAUACCCCCAGAUACAGCCCCCUUUAUACCCCCCAGAUACAGCCCCC